UCCAGAAGAGGGACGUUGGCCAGGUUCCAGAUGAACUGGCCUCGAUGCAGACUUUCUACUGAUGGAUGAUGGAAUUUCUUCAGAAAAAAGAACAAGAGAAAAUAGGCCAUAAAUAAAAGUCCUGUUGCCGUGAUUAAAGGGCUUGAUGAAACGUCCCGUUAAUAGGUUCCUUACCAGACUCACUGAAAAACAGCCACGCCCCAGACCAUUACUUUUCAACAAGUAAAAGCAGAAUCGCUAGGAUUAUUUCAGGCAAGCCUAUCAGUAGCUACAUAAAACCUGAAUGUUUUUUUCCUCCAUUCUUCCAGUAUAGAUAAUCUUAAACCCUUUGUCACCGAAUCACUUAAAAUCGAGGGUGACUUUGUGCGGUGUGACAGGGAUGCUGCUGCACGGAAGCCUUGCCAAGGCUGCAGCCACACAGCUGGGCUGUGCAGCUGGUGCUACAGAAGCUGUCAGAGCAAGAGAGACAAAAACUGCCAACAUUCCACAGACAGAUGCACAGAUGGCAGCUUCUGGGGUCAAGGCUCAGAAUCAGCUGGCACAUGCAAUGUCCUUAAGACAGAAGUGCUUGACAGAGCUACUGGAUGGAACUUUGUUCUUACGAAAAUGUCCACAGGCUCUCAAACAUCCAUGCAGUACACAGAGACCCCAGCAAACAGCCCCGUGUGUGCUUCUCACUUCCCAUGAGCAGUUGGCUCCUUUUAAAGAGAAACCCAUGUUUAGAAUUAAGGCCGUUACAUCUAGAUAGCUAAAUGAUAGUUAAAACUGUAACUCUAUGGAUAAGUAAGGAACAACACCAAGCCUAAAUCAAAAAUCACAACAGAGGAUCCCUAACCUGUGCAGAACACCUCGCUGGGAGGAAGAAUGCCAUCUGGUGAGCAACCACUGCAAUUCUGCCUGCACAAAUCAGCACAGAGCAGUAAAUGGGAUACCAGAUGUGGGAAAGAGUGAAGAAAUAAUCUCUUAUGCAUUAAGAUUAUUUGACUGAAAGCAGUGGAACUAAGAGCAGUGUCACACAUCUCUCUCCAUUAGCACUGCUGGCAUUACAGAAAAGGAAACAGCUGCUACUGCUGCAGGAAUGGUCGCAGUUCUAAUGGCCAGGAGAAAGAGAGCAAGUCAGAACGAGUUCAAAAUAAAAGAUUGGCCAGCAGGACCCAACAGAAGCAUUUUAAUGCUUCAGAACCAAGCUAUGCGUGCUCUGAUUCGGGCAGCCUAGGGCUCACUCUCCUCAUUUACCAGGCUUCAAGUGCCAAACAGAUCAGGAAAGUUGACAGAGAACGGUAAGAAACAGAGAGGAGAAAUGAAACGCAAAUGAAAUCUAUGAAGCCAGAGCAACAAAAACUCACUCACCUCUGUGAGAGCUUUAUCCAAACUGGCAGCUAGCUUACCAAUCUCAUACAAAAGCUGAGGAGUUGCAGCAACUUUAGCCACAGGAGUGCCCGGCAGUGGCAGUUCUUGCCAGAAGGAUCACCCACCCACCAGCAAAACCAGGAGCGAGCCAUCUUGCACCAUAUCUCAAGCCCACACCUACAGAUGCUUGCCGCAGUGCACAAACCUCAUCAGCACUGCUGCUCUUGCACUGCUCAAGGUCCAGCAUCUCUGGGUUUUUCUGCACUACGCAGUGCAUUUGAUGGAGCUCAGCUCUGGCAUUCUCAGGUACGUGCAUGCUCCAAAGUUACUUCAAGUGAGAAAUUCUAGUCCAAAAGCUGAAAGGGAAGCGUGCGAUGGAUUGGGAUCUAUGGGAAGCGCCAGAGCAGCGGGGACUGCUCUAGUCGGAAGCUGCGGGGCGUGAGGAAAGCCACCUGCCCUCUGCAGCUUGCUUGGGCUCUCUCCCUUCUGACAGGUGUCCAGCAUUACUCCACACCUGUGUCAGCACAAGAGAGCAGGAUCCAGCAGCAAUGCAGCCACCCGCUGCGCAGUGAUGAGGCGGUCACAGCUACCGCCAAGCAGGGUGACAAUGGGCAGCUCCUGGAGCU